AGAGUUUGAUCCUGGCUCAGGAUGAACGCUAGCGACAGGCCUAACACAUGCAAGUCGAGGGGCAGCGCGAUGGUAGCAAUACCGUUGGCGGCGACCGGCGCACGGGUGCGUAACAGGUGUGCAAUCUGUCCAUAUCCGGGGGAUAGCCCAGCGAAAGUUGGAUUAAAACUCCAUGUGUAAUGAAGAGGCAUCUCUUUAUUAUGAAACGUAAGGGAUAUGGGUGAGCACGCUUCUGAUUAGAUAGUUGGUGAGGUAACGGCUCACCAAGUCGACGAUCAGUAGGGGUUCUGAGAGGAAGGUCCCCCACAUUGGAACUGAGACACGGUCCAAACUCCUACGGGAGGCAGCAGUGAGGAAUAUUGGUCAAUGGACGGAAGUCUGAACCAGCCAAGUCGCGUGAAGGAAGACGGUUCUAUGGAUUGUAAACUUCUUUUGUCCGAGGGUAAAGUGAGAGAUGCGUCUCUUAUUGCAAGUAUCGGACGAAUAAGCAUCGGCUAACUCCGUGCCAGCAGCCGCGGUAAUACGGAGGAUGCGAGCGUUAUCCGGAUUUAUUGGGUUUAAAGGGUGCGUAGGCGGAUGAUUAAGUCUGUGGUGAAAGCGUGCGGCUCAACCGUACCGAGCCAUGGAAACUGGUUGUCUUGAGUGUAAACGAGGUAGGCGGAAUGUGACAUGUAGCGGUGAAAUGCUUAGAUAUGUCACAGAACUCCGAUUGCGAAGGCAGCUUACCAGCAUACAACUGACGCUGAGGCACGAAAGCGUGGGUAUCAAACAGGAUUAGAUACCCUGGUAGUCCACGCAGUAAACGAUGAAUACUAGCUGUUGGCGAUAUAUGGUCAGCGGUACAGCGAAAGUGUU
rnacentral:rRNA from 1 species